AUUGAACGCUGGCGGCAGGCCUAACACAUGCAAGUCGAACGAGUGGCGGACGGGUUAGUAAUGUCUGUGCAACUGCCCGAUGGAGGGGGAUAACUACUGGAAACGGUAGCUAAUACCGCAUACCAUCGGAUGUGCCCAGAUGGGUUUAGCUAGUAGGGGGGGUAACGGCUCACCUAGGCGACGAUCCCUAGCUGGUCUGAGAGGAUGACCAGCCACACGGGAACUGAGACACGGUCCAGACUCCUACGGGAGGCAGCAGGGGGGAAGAUUGGACAAUGGGCGAAAGCCUGAUGCAGCCAUGCCGCGUGUAUGAAGAAGGCCUUCGGGUUGUAAAGUACUUUCAGCGAGGAGGCGUUACUCGCAGAAGAAGCACCGGCUAACUCCGUGCCAGCAGCCGCGGUAAUUC
rnacentral:rRNA from 1 species